AGAACGAACGCUGGCGGCGUGGAUAAGACAUGCAAGUCGAACGGGAUUUCAGGUGCAGCAAUGCAUCUGGAGUCCAGUGGCGUAAGGGUGCGUAACACGUGGGCAAUCUGCCGAAGAGUGGGGGAUAGCUCGUCGAAAGGCGAAUUAAUACCGCAUGCGGCUAGUGGAGCAUCUCCACGAGGCCAAAGCCGGGGAUCCAGCAAUGGACCUGGCGCUUCUUUGAUGGGCCCGCGGCCUAUCAGCUUGUUGGUGAGGUAACGCUCACCAAGGCGACGACGGGUA
rnacentral:rRNA from 1 species